GGGUGCGAUCAUACCAACACUGAUACAACGGAUCCCAUCAGAACUGCGCAGUUAAGCGUUCUUGGGCGAGAGUAGUACUGCGAUGGGUGACCACUUGGGAAGUACUCGUGUUGCACCCC
rnacentral:rRNA from 1 species